GAACGCAAGUUGCGCCCGAAGCCUUCUGGCCGAGGGCACGCCUGCCUGGGCGUCACGCAUCGCGUCGCCCCCCUCCAACGUCCCUAGGGACUCGCGAGAGGGAGCGGAAAAUGGUCUCCCGUGUGCCUUCUGGCCCGCGGCUGGCCUAAAUGAGAUCCUGCAUCGACGGAUGUCACGACCAGUGGUGGUUGAAAACUCAAUCGAGCUGUCGUGCGUCAACUCGUCGCUUGCCGUUUCCUCGAACCGAACGGCGCCUCGCGCGCCCACGACCGCGACCCCAGGUCAGGCGGGACUACCCGCUGAGUUUAAG
rnacentral:misc_RNA from 1 species